rnacentral:tRNA from 1 species
AUGUUUUUAGUAUAUAAAGUACACUUACCUUCCAAGUAAGGAGAUUAGUAAAUAAAAAACAUA